rnacentral:rRNA from 1 species
UACAGAGGUCUCAAGCGUUGUUCGGAAUCACUGGGCGUAAAGGGUGCGUAGGCGGCGGAGUAAGUCGGAUGUGAAAUUUGGAGGCUCAACCUCCAACUUGCAUCUGAUACUGCUUCGCUAGAGACCUGGAGAGGAGUUUGGAAUUCUCGGUGUAGCAGUGAAAUGCGUAGAUUUCGAGAAGAACGCUCGCAGCGAAAGCGAAACUCUGGACAGCGUCUGACGCUGAGGCACGAAGGCUAGGGGAGCAAAGCGGG